AUGGCCAUAUUCCAUUGUAACACCAGUUUCCAUACGAUCAUCGAAGUUAAGCGACGUCGGGCCUGGUCAGUACUUAGAUGGAUGAAAACUUGUGAAUACCAGUUGCUGUAA